rnacentral:rRNA from 1 species
AACGAACGCUGGCGGUAUGCUUAACACAUGCAAGUCGAACGGGUGUAGCAAUACAUCAGUGGCAAACGGGUGAGGAAUGUAGAGGAAUCUCCCUAGCAGUAAGGAAUAACUUUGGGAAACCAAAGCUAAUGCCAUAUAUUACCCUCCGGGGGAAAGAUUUAUCGCUGUUAGAUGAGCCUCUAUCGGAUUAGCUAGUUGGUGAGGUAAUGGCUCACCAAGGCAAUGAUCCGUAGCUGGUCUUAGAGGAUGAUCAGCCACACUGGAACUGAGACACAGUCCAGACUCCUACGGGAGGCAGCAGUGGGGAAUAUUUGACAAUGGGCGAAAGCCUGAUCCAGCAAUGCCGCGUGAGUGAUGAAGGCCCUAGGGUUGUAAAGCUCUUUUACCAGGGAUGAUAAUGACAGUACCUGGAGAAUAAGCUCCGGCUAACUCCGUGCCAGCCGCCGCAGUAA